rnacentral:rRNA from 1 species
CCUACGGGAGGCAGCAGUGAGGAAUAUUGGUCAAUGGGCGGAAGCCUGAACCAGCCAAGUCGCGUGAGGGAUUAAGGCCCUGCGGGUCGUAAACCUCUUUUGCCGGGGGGCAGUGGUCCGGACGCGUCCGGACCGGGAGAGUACCCGGAGAAAAAGCAUCGGCUAACUCCGUGCCAGCAGCCGCGGUAAUACGGGGGAUGCGAGCGUUAUCCGGAUUGAUUGGGUUUAAAGGGUGCGUAGGCGGGCAUUUAAGCCGGCGGUAAAAUGGCGGGGCUCAACCCCGGCCUGCCGUCGGAACUGGGUGCCUUGAGUGGGCGAGAAGUAGGCGGAAUGCGUGGUGUAGCGGUGAAAUGCAUAGAUAUCACGCAGAACCCCGAUUGCGAAGGCAGCAUACCGGCGCACUACUGACGCUGAGGCACGAAAGUGCGGGUAUCGAACAGGAUUAGAUACCCUGGUAGUC